AAUAUAGAACUAGAGAUACACAGAAUAUUGAACAAAAUAAUGACGUUAAAGUAUUUAAACCCAACAUAAGGAUAAGUAAAAAAAAAUGAAAAAAAAAAAAAAAACAAGCAAACACACACAAACAGGGAACGGGGGGAAAUAUACGGAAAUAAGACAUUAGGAAAGUAAGAACAUAUACAGCACAUAGAAAGAGAGGAGAAAGUAAGAUAAAAUAGUCAGAAAAGUGAGGUAGGAGUGUGUGAAGGCAAAUAUAAUGGGAAAAACAAGGCCCGCAGGCAGGGAAUGAGACACGGGGAAGACAUUAUCUGCGUCUGUUGUGGUUGUGUUGGAGGACGCGGCCUGACUCUUCCCCCUCGUGGCCUCCUGCACCUCCACGGCCUCUAGACUGUAUCAUCAUCAGAAGUGAGCAGCGUCUUCUGUGGUGGUACGUACACUCGUGCCUGGCAGAAUGUUUUGCACUUCCUGUCACUACCUCGUAUGUAUUGAUCACACUGCCCGGAACUGUGAUGCUCCCUAUGGCCACUGCAUAGAAACACUGAGAAAUUGACCUGAAGGCAAGAUAAAUCUUUAGCCAUGAGAGGCUGGAGAUGGAGAUUGAACCCCUGACCAGGAAAGCAGGAUGGCACCUCGGAUGUCAGGGCCAUGAUGAUCAUCUGGCCCCUAGACAGUUUUUGGGACCAUUGUACUGAAUCACUUGCUUCCAGUGAUAAUUUGGAGGUGGUUUGUCUAAAUGAUCCCUUCAGGCUUGUUUAGGCUCAUAGAUAAUGGCCAUAACAGUAACAAAAGUGAAUGGUGGUGUAAGACGAGGUUGACGGGUGGUACUGUAUUUGCUUCACCAGGACCAUUAUACCAUUAGAACAUGUCCACAGAGCACAUUAAUAACAUGAGUCAGCUUUGUUUAUUGAGUUGUGGGGACAGGAUGCAGUUUAGUUUUGAUUCAGUGCUUCAGUGAAUGUGACAGGAAAUAAUGAAAGCAAGAGUGGAAUGUUUUGUGUAAGUGGUGAGAAGAUAAAAAAUGAGAUUGAGCUGUGUAAUAAGAAGAGAAGACUAAGAGCCUGGAGAAAACCGGUAGAGGAAAGGAGAUUGAGGGGAAGACAGAGAACGAGGCGGAGGGAUGAAUUUGUGGUAGAACUGCAAAGGGUGGGAGGCACAGAGGAAGAUGUAAGGGACAGAAACAAAUGGAGGAGACUUGUAUGAGGCAUCAUCCCCUCACUCAUGGGAAACAGAUAAAGCAGACAGGAUGUAAUGACUGUCACUCAACUCAACUAUGAGAGAUCUUCCUGUGGCACUCUACUUGUGUAAAUCUCUGGGUGGAGCCUGCUGUGUAUACAUUUUGCUCAUGUAAGAGAGGUGCAGGCCAAUGACCAAAAAAAAAGAGAAAAAAAAAAGAAAAUGCCCAUUGAGGUGCCAGUUCGUAAAGAAGAGUCACAUAGUUAUAUAAUUAACUUGAAGUCUGGAAAUGUGGGUUUAAAUUUGAGACUGGAUGGCAUGUGUUGCUGUGUAGAAGAAGGUACAAGUGUGAAAUCUUGACUUUGGGGAUCAGGAGUGUUGUGUGUGUGUGAGCUGAAUGAAAGACUUUUCAGGUGGAUUGUAACUGUUGAUAGGUUAGGGUUCUGUUAGAUUUGGUUAGGUUAGCUUAGGUCAUGUGCAUCAUUUACAAGCUGAUAUCGGUCUUAUUCUCUUACAUUAGGUUAGGUCAGGUCAAGUUAGGUGAUGUCAUGUGCAUCAUUUACCCACUGAUAUUGGUCUUAUUCUCUUGGUUCACAUCACAGCAUAGGAACCUCUCAGGCAACUCAUUUCCUUGACUUGACACCUAGACUGACCUUCAUUCUUUGUGCUGACCUCCCUUGUAUGAGAUAUGAUUACUUGACCCAGACUUCUGACCUUCAUUCUUUGUGGGUCUGCCCUGUACUGGUGUGCUGUGAUGGUCUCCCAGAGGUUCAUUGUCACCUGUAGGAAAUUAGAUAAAGGGAUUUUUCUGGACUUUCAAGGUGUGGGUGUAGGGAGGAGUUGUCAGCCUGUGAAGGAGGAUGAGGGUCUGCUGUGAGAAUGUAGCGUCUUGUGUGGGUGUUGAUGUAGAAAUGAAAAGAAAGAGGAAGGUCAUGUUUUUGCUUUAUUUUAUCAGUCUUGUCUCAUUGUAAGGUCCUCCCUUCACUCGGUCCAGUCACUUGUACCUUAGACGUUUCCUCUUUACGAUUUUUUCCUCUUCCGUGACUGCAAUGGUUUCUCCUUUCCUGUAGAAUGUGUCUCUUGCUUUGUGUGUUAUUGUUGUAGUUAUUCCGGAUUUUGUUUUAUUUUCAGUUUUUAUUUAUUUAU